GAGGUCAUGGUUCAGUGGUAGAGCAUCUGCUUUUUAUGAAAAAGUUCCCAGAUUCAAUCCUGGGCAUCUUCA
rnacentral:tRNA from 1 species